AAUGAACGUUGGCGGCGUGGAUUAGGCAUGCAAGUCGCGCGAUAAACGUAGCAAUACGUGGAAAGCGGCGUAAGGGAGAGUAAUCCAUAGUUAGCUACCCCCGGGACUGGAUAGCGGCGGGAAACUGCCGGUAAUACCAGAUGAUAUCUUCGGACCAAACGUGUAAACCGGCCCGGGGAGGUGACUAUGUCCUAUCAGCUAGUUGGCGGUGUAAUGGACCACCAAGGCUAAGACGGGUAUGGGGCGUGAGAGCGUGCCCCCACUCACUGGGACUGAGACACUGCCCAGACACCUACGGGUGGCUGCAGUCGAGAAUCUUCGGCAAUGGGCGCAAGCCUGACCGAGCGACGCGGCGUGCGGGAUGAAGGCCUUCGGGUUGUAAACCGCUGUCGUAGGGGAGGAAGGUCUGGUGUAUAGCCAGGCUUGACCGAUCCUAGGAGGAAGGGCCGGCUAAUCUCGUGCCAGCAGCCGCCGUAACAC
rnacentral:rRNA from 1 species